ACAACGACUCUCGGCAACGGAUAUCUCGGCUCUCGCAUCGAUGAAGAACGUAGCGAAAUGCGAUACUUGGUGUGAAUUGCAGAAUCCCGUGAACCAUCGAGUCCUUGAACGCAAGUUGCGCCCGAAGCCAUCCGGCCGACGGCACGUCUGCCUGGGCGUCACGCA
rnacentral:rRNA from 1 species